rnacentral:lncRNA from 1 species
CACAACAAAGCAUGAGUAGAGCAUCGUAGUUUAAAAGUGAGGAGCAGCUGCACUUAAAUCAAUGAAAUCUCACAGAAUUAGAAGCACUGGAACUGUCAAAAUAGGAGGCAAUGAAAAAUGUCACCAUCAAAGAAGAACAAAAAAUAAAUGUGAGCG